rnacentral:misc_RNA from 1 species
AUCAGCCUCCUGCUUCUCCUCUCAUUCCUUUUUUUCUUCAUCAUCACUAGAAUAAAUAAUCUAAAAAAUCCAGGUUUAAGAAUGCGGUGAUGAACAGAGCAGCGAGAUGAAAGAAAAAGUGGGAAAGAAGCAAAUCCAAAAAAGAAAAAAAGAUUACUGCUCCAAAAUGCCAGCAGAACUACCCACAUUUUUGAAACACAUUAAUCAACCCACAUUGCUCAAAAAUCCCAGCAGAACAAUCCCAACAAUACCCACUCCAAAAUACCUUGAAAUCAGUACAACCCAUGGUAAAAGAUUUCUGUCAGGCCUUCCAUCAAACAAGUUGUGGAUAUCACAAGCAAUCAAACUUUGGAUAUCUUUGAUAAUGUAUAUAUCUGAAUGGUCUUGCAUGGAGUGCUCUAAGAACAAAUCGAAAGAGAAGUUUAUUUAACUGUUCGAAGAUAAGUUUUUUUAACUGUGGGAGUUUGGAAGGGAAUGCGUUAGGCAAAGGAAUUGGUGAUUGGGAGUUUAGAUUAGUUGGGUACUGCUAGGAGUGUGAUCCUUCGGGAAACAACACUCACAGUCAUCCAUGUGCAUAAUAUGCCUCCAUUGUAGUUGCUUUUCCCUUGUUGCAACACUCACUGUUGUCCAUCGUUGGCAUUGGCUCCACCAUUAUUGGCAACCUCUCGUAUUGGCAACGAUUGGUACCUUAUAGCAAUUUGAGACAGGUGAGUCCUCUAGUGGUGACGGCAUACAACUUGCUGGUGACAUGGUUGAAAUCAAAAGGCGCCAAGGAGGUUGAGGAGGAAUGGGUUAACAAG